GAGGGGAUAGGGUGGGAGCAUCAGGGCCAGGGUGGUAGGCCAGGCUAGUAUCGGCUGGGCCAAGCUGGCAGUACAUGCUGGGCACAGCAGGCCCAGUCUCGGAGGCUAGGCUGGGUGCGGCAGAGCCAGGCCGGGAGGCCAGCCUGGGAGCACCUGGGCCAGGCUGGUAGUACACGCUGUUCGCGGCAGGGACAGUGUCGGAGGCAAGGCUGGGUGCGGCAGGAUCCUUCUCAGAGGCCAGGCUGGGCGCAGCAGGGCCAGUCUGGGAGCAUCAGGGCCAGGCUGAGAAGUCCCGCUGGGCACUGCAGGGCCAGGCUGGCAGCAUCAGGACCAGGCUCGCAAUGCACGCUGGUCCGGUCAGGGAUAGUCUCGGUGGGCAGGCCAGGCGCAGCAUGGCCUGGCUGGGAGGCCAGGCUGGGAGCGUCAGGGCCAGGCUGGCAGUACACGCUGGUUGCAGAAGGGCCAGUCUUGGGGGCCAGGCUGGGCGUGGCAGGGCCCUUCUCGGAGGCCAUGCUGGGGGUGGCAGGACCAGGCUGUGCGGUAGAGCUGGGAGCAUCAGGGCCAUGGUGGCAGGCCAGGCUGGUAUCGGCUGGGCCAAGCUGGCAGUACAUGCUGGGCACAGCAGGCCCAGUCUCGGAGGCUAGGCUGGGCGUUGCAGGGCAAGGCCGGGAAGCCAGCCUGGGAGCAGCUGGGCCAGGCUGGUAGUACACGCUGUUUGGGGCAGGGACAGUGUCGGAGGCCAGGCUGGGCGCAGCAGGGCCAGUCUGGGAGGUCUGGCUGGGAGCAUCAGGGCCACGGUGGUAGGCCAGGCUGGUAGCGGCUGAGCCAGGCUGGCAGUACAUGCUGGUUGCGUCAGGGACAGUCUUGGAGGCCAGGUUGGGCACAGCAGGGCCAGUCUGGGAGGCCAGGCUGGGAGCGUCACGUCCAGGCUGGCAGGACAGCCUGGUCACGGCAGGGACAGUCUCAGAUGGCAGGCGGGGCGCGGAAGAGUCAGGCUGCGGUGUCAGCCGGGCUGUUGCAGGGCCAGGCUGCGGGGACAGCCACGCAGCGGCAUUGCUACUCUUGGGCGACAGCCGGGCAGGGACAGGGCCAGGCUGGAGAGACAGCCAUGGAGCAGGAGGGCGGGUGGGGAGGAUAGAGGGAGCGGCCGGGCCAGGCUGAGAGGUCCGGCUGGGCGCUGCAGGGCCAGACUGGCAGCAUCAGGACCAGGCUCCCAGUGCACGAUGGUCCGAUCAGGGAUAGUCUGAGAGGGCAGGCUGGGCGCGGCAUGGCCAGGCUGGGAGGCCAGAGUGGAAGCGUCAAGGACAGGCUGGAAGUACAUGCUAGUUGCACCAGGGCCAGUCUUGGGGGCCAGGCUGGGCUUGGCAGGGCCCUUCUCGGAGGCCAGGCUGGGGCUGGCCGGUCCAGGCUGUGCUGUAGUGCUGGAAGCAUCAGAGCCACGGUGGUAGGCCAGGCUGGUAUCGGCUGGGCCAAGCUGACAGUACAUGCUGGGCCCAGGAGGCCCAGUCUCGGAGGCUAGGCUGCGCGCUGCAGGGCCUGGCCGGGAGGCCAGCCUGGGAGCUGCUGGGCCAGGCUGGUAGUACACGCUGUUUGCGGCAGGGACAGUGUCGGAGGCCAGGCUGGGCGCGGCAGGAACUUCUCGGAGGCCAGGCUGGGCGCAGCAGGGCCUGGCUGGGAGUCCAGGCUGGGCACCGCAGGGCCAGUCUGUGAGGUCAGGCUGGGAGCAUCAGGGCCACGGUGGUAGGCCAGGCUGCUAGCGGCUGGGCCAGGCUGGCAGUACAUGAUGGUUGCAUCAGGGACAGUCUCGGAGGGCAGGCUGUGCGCGGCAUGGCCAGGCUGGGAGGCCAGGCUGGGAGCCUGAAGAACAGGCUGGCAGUACAGCCUGGUGACGGCAGGGACAGUCUCCGAGGCCAGG
ensembl:lincRNA